GGUCAGCUGACACAUCCCUGCCAAUCUCCGGCAGACCCUCCCUCCCACACCCUCCUACUUCCUGGACAGCAUCCAUGUUGAAGGCAGCUUCAACAUGGAUGCUGUCCAGGAGGUGGGAGGGUCUGGGAGGGAGGGUCUGCCGGAGAUUGGCAGGGAUGUGUCAGCUG
rnacentral:miRNA from 1 species